GACGAACCGUGCGAACGUUGUUCGGAAUCACUGGGCUUAAAGGGCGCGUAGGCGGGCUGUCGCGUCUGGGGUGAAAUCCUCCGGCUCAACCGGGGAAGGGCCUCGGGUACGGACGGCCUCGAGGGGGGUAGGGGCGUGCGGAACUGUGGGUGGAGCGGUGAAAUGCGUUGAUAUCCACAGGAACUCCGGUGGCGAAGGCGGGUCUCUGGGCCGAUACUGACGCUGAGGAGCGAAAGCGUGGGGAGCGAACAGG
rnacentral:rRNA from 1 species